rnacentral:rRNA from 1 species
CAGCCGCCACGGGAAUACGGAGGGUGCAAGCGUUAAUCGGAAUUACUGGGCGUAAAGCGCACGCAGGCGGUCUGACAAGUCAGAUGUGAAAUCCCCGGGCUUAACCUGGGAACUGCAUUUGAAACUGUCAGGCUGGAGUCUUGUAGAGGGGGGUGGAAUUCCAGGUGUAGCGGUGAAAUGCGUAGAGAUCUGGAGGAAUACCGGUGGCGAAGGCGGCCCCCUGGACAAAGACUGACGCUCAGGUGCGAAAGCGUGGGGAGCAAACAGGAUUAGAUACCCCUGUAGUCCCUGUCUCUUAUAC